rnacentral:lncRNA from 1 species
CAGCAAUGAAAUUUAUGUGGGCUGUUUUAUUAUUCUCCACAACAGGUCUUUCUUCUGCUUCCUUCUUUUUUGGAAUUCCUCUCAUCUGCUUCCUCCCAAGAGCCUUCGUCUGAAGAAUGGACACUUCAGCUUCUUGUGCCUGGAUUCAAGCCGCCAGGUGCUUCACAGGGGGAAAACUGGCCAUGCAUUUCUACUCUUUGAAAUCUGCAAGGAAUAGAGGCAUAAUCAAUAGAAAAAAAGAAGAUCAGGAAUAUUACAGUGAAAAGAGCUCAUCGUAUGCAGGCUGGCCCAUGUGAGGGUGCGUGUGCUACAGCUGCACAUCUCAGUAUCGACACAGCCCCCAACUCCACACGGAGGACUGAGACUGGGGAGAAUGGAUGAGGACAGAGAGAAUGAAGGUAUGUUAAUUUAUAUGCAGACUUUAUCUAGCACUAGUUCUGUUGCAUUGAUCUGAUACAUUAUCACCUCAGAACUAGUUUGAGUUUGAGUCAAUUCAGUGUGAAUGAAUAGCCUACGCUGACCUCCAUGUUACUGUGUCAAGUUUAUUACCUCUGCUAUUCAUACUGGUUAGGUGGAAGCUAGAUUAUGUAUCUCCACAGUGUGCUGAAGCUGUGUCUGAAGCUGCAAAGUUUACCUAAUCCUAGGAGCAGGAGGACUUAACCCUAGGAUUUAAGAGGACCAGGUCCUUGGAAAGCAGUGUGUAACUAGCGAACUAGUUGCACGGGCACCACAAUGCUGCCUCA